ACAUCAUCGGUCAUGGAGAGUCUCCAUCCAGCUGGAUCACUGUCACAGAGAGACACACCACCACACCUCCACCUACAUCCACACCUCCACCUACAUCCACUUCUAAUCCUGCAUCUACCUCGAUCCAGUUGCAGUGAGAUCAUAACGGGCCCGGAGUUUCUAGAGCCCCAGCUCGUCUGCUCCUCACUGAAGCUCCACCAAUCAGACCUCAGGACAUUCAACACUUAAUUUUUCUCUCUGUUCUUUUCACAAGGUUAUAUUCAUAAAACAAUACUAUAUAA